GUUUACACUUGAGUACCAGUCUAACGUGGUCACUCGGCGAGGGAGCCAAGAACUGUGUGACUCCAGUGAUAAAAUAAAUCUUACAUACUCAAUUGAAAUUGGUUGUCAAAGGCUGCCAGUGUUGUUGACUUUAUUAUUGUUACUGAUGUGAGUGUGUAAGGUGUGGUAGACAUUGUGGUGAAGGCAUAGAUGCGUUAGUAACAAGUGAGGUGGGCGGAGUAAGGCUACAAACCCACCCCUCAGCGGCGGUACAUAAUCAGGAAAUCAUCAACUUUACCAGAUUACCCCAUGUCUGGUAAGAACCAACCACGGUGAAUGGCCUGUCCGACCCAGUGACUGGUGGUGCAAGGCAACUGGGGUGUCACAGAGCUGCGCAGACCAAGUGGUCAUCGUAAUAUCGUAUGAUGACCACCAGUGACCUGCUCAGCCCCAGGCAAUUACGCAGUUGUAAGCGUCACGUAAGU